GAUGAACGCUGGCGGCGUGCCUAAUACAUGCAAGUAGAACGCUGAAGGGAGGAGCUUGCUCUUUCCGGAUGAGUUGCGAACGGGUGAGUAACGCGUAGGUAACCUGCCUGGUAGCGGGGGAUAACUAUUGGAAACGAUAGCUAAUACCGCAUAACAGUAGAUGUUGCAUGAUAUCUACUUAAAAGGUGCAAUUGCACCACUACCAGAUGGACCUGCGUUGUAUUAGCUAGUUGGUGAGGUAACGGCUCACCAGGGCGACGAUACAUAGCCGACCUGAGAGGGUGAUCGGCCACACUGGGACUGAGACACGGCCCAGACUCCUACGGGAGGCAGCAGUAGGGAAUCUUCGGCAAUGGACGGAAGUCUGACCGAGCAACGCCGCGUGAGUGAAGAAUGGUUUCGGAUCGUAAAGCUCUGUUGUAAGAGAAGAACGAGUGUGAGAGUGGAAAGUUCACACUGUGACGGUAUCUUACCAGAAAGGGACGGCUAACUACGUG
rnacentral:rRNA from 1 species